AGAUAAUGCAAAGCCCAUCUGGAAAGCAUGCCACAGCCUCUUCAGAAAGCACUUUGCUUGGAACAAGUUACAUCCUAUUGCUCUUAAAAAGCAGAGGACUCUGAGAGCAAAUCGUCUUGAGAGAUUCUGUUCCCGUGGCAAGAGAUGGGAGAUCACCUCUUCCUACUAAAAACACAUGACUCUUCUUUAUAUUUGCAGAUUUCAUGGUGGUGAAGUAAAUUGUUGCAUAAAAUAUUUUUUUUUUCAGCGUAGGCAGCUGGCUCACAGACUUGUUAGUCUCCUGUCACUGUGGGAUGUCUGCAGAAGCAGAAGAGCACCCGGGUCUCCUCACUAAUGCCCAGGCUCAGCAUUUGUGUAUCGGAAUAUUUCAAAACCUGCAGAUCAGAGCUGACUAGACACAGCAGAGGAUAACUGCACCCCAGAAAAGGUAUAAGCUGAUGCUGAAGGAUACACUCGCUCUCCUUUCUGUGUCUGAAUGAUGUUGGUGAACACAAACCCCAGUUUGGUGCUGUGGUAAGAGCCUACGAUGAAACUUGUGGGCAAACGCUUCUUUCUGUGCUUUUGCAGCAAGCAGCGCAACCCCUCUCAGUCUCCUGUCAUUGGUUAGUGGCAUUAGUGUUUCUGAACAGCAAAACCACAUUUACGGGUUUGUUUGUCUCCAGGUUAUGCAACUUAACUCAUUUCAGACGAGCAAUGAUUUCAUUUGAUAAUAGACUGUAGCUUUGAAACUCAGACAUAGUUGCAGAGGAAAAGAAGAAAACCUGUGCUGCAGUUAACUGUCCUCAACUGUUCUCUGCCAUGCAGAUUUUCAUUGUGUGCUGGUGUUGACUUCUGCCCUAAACACCUACAUGUGUUCACCACGGAUACAGGAAUGUUUAAAUUGAUGACUUGUAUUAUGUUCUCCCCUUUCUCAAAAAGCUGAGUUCAUAUCAUUGCACAAAUGGCAAGUUAGCUCCUUACACCUAAUCUUCUAUUACAUGAGAGUUAGAUAGCACCAAAAGAAAGAAUGUAUUUCUUCUUCACUAGAAAAAAAAAAAAAAAAGAGGCAAAUUGCAAAUCUCUGUAUCAAUAUCUAAAAUGUAGAAAACAUCCCACUUGAAUUCAGUUAGCCUUCAUGAACGGUUUCUGCAGGAAUAAAAGCCUGGAUCCCAUUUUUGUAGACUACUCA
rnacentral:lncRNA from 1 species